rnacentral:rRNA from 1 species
AGAGUUUGAUCCUGGCUCAGAGCGAACGCUGGCGGCAGGCUUAACACAUGCAAGUCGAGCGGGCGUAGCAAUACGUCAGCGGCAGACGGGUGAGUAACGCGUGGGAACGUACCUUUUGGUUCGGAACAACCCAGGGAAACUUGGGCUAAUACCGGAUAAGCCCUUACGGGGAAAGAUUUAUCGCCGAAAGAUCGGCCCGCGUCUGAUUAGCUAGUUGGUGGGGUAAUGGCCCACCAAGGCGACGAUCAGUAGCUGGUCUGAGAGGAUGAUCAGCCACAUUGGGACUGAGACACGGCCCAAACUCCUACGGGAGGCAGCAGUGGGGAAUAUUGGACAAUGGGCGCAAGCCUGAUCCAGCCAUGCCGCGUGAGUGAUGAAGGCCCUAGGGUUGUAAAGCUCUUUUGUGCGGGAAGAUAAUGACGGUACCGCAAGAAUAAGCCCCGGCUAACUUCGUGCCAGCAGCCGCGGUAAUACGAAGGGGGCUAGCGUUGCUCGGAAUCACUGGGCGUAAAGGGUGCGUAGGCGGGUCUUUAAGUCAGGGGUGAAAUCCUGGAGCUCAACUCCAGAACUGCCUUUGAUACUGAAGAUCUUGAGUUCGGGAGAGGUGAGUGGAACUGCGAGUGUAGAGGUGAAAUUCGUAGAUAUUCGCAAGAACACCAGUGGCGAAGGCGGCUCACUGGCCCGAUACUGACGCUGAGGCACGAAAGCGUGGGGAGCAAACAGGAUUAGAUACCCCAGUAGUCC